rnacentral:lncRNA from 1 species
CGAACAACCUAACUCGCUGCCCGAAACUCUUGCCCGCCCUAAUCUCUCUAUAAAUUCCAGCUCCCAUCGCUCUCAAACUCUGCUGCCACCAUUCUUUCUAGGCCUCUCCUCUCUCUCCUCUUAUUCAGUACCUUGAGAGCAAUGGCAGUCUCACGCUCCGCAGCUUCGGUUGUACCAUUGUUGGUCGUGGUGGCCAUGGUCUUCUCGCUAGUCGGAGCCUCGUUCGCCGCCGAGGCUCCUGCACCGGCUCCCGCUUCUUCCGCCGUGUCAGUUUCGCCGUCAUUGGUGGCCGGAUUCGCCGUUGCCUUCGCUUCUUUCAUCUUCGGAUCUGGAUUCAGAGUUUGAAGUAGUACAGUUAUUUAUAUUAUUUGCAGGAGAUAUUUGAUUUUGGGGAGGUUUUGUACAUGUGUUUAUUACUACUUAGCUAUGAUGUUAGUGUAGUAACCGCUGCUGCAGUUUGUUUUUCCUUUUUCAUUUUUUUUUUAUUAUUUUGUGAGUUUCUCGAGGGGUUUGUUUCUAGCAUGUUAUUGCAGAGUUGCAGUUUAUUUUAAAUUUCUCUUCACUAAUAUUUCGUUAAAAUAUCUUUUAUUGAUUUACAAUCUUAAUUGUCUCAUUGCACCGUUAUUAUUUUUUAAUUUUGUGGGGUAAUUAAAAACACGGGGAAAAAAUCCCUAUUAUUCUACAAUUUUUUUUGUUUUUACCCUUGGUAACUAAUGAAUACUAGUACUAUUAGACAAUUUUAUGUGUACCAAUAAUUACAAGUAGGCCUAAAAACAAUAGCAGACAGGAGUGAAGCAUUAUGUGACUUAAUUGAGUCUAGCAUUUAGUUGAAACUCGAGUCUAACAACACACAGAUUAAGACUCCUAUUUUAGCGAAGAAAAAUGCUUGAUUAAACUAGAAAUUCGAAUGAGAAAAAGUAUUCAAUCAAGAUGCUUGAUCAAUAAAUGGGGCUAAUACAUAAUUUCCAAUUUGUGUCAGGAGCGGAAUUUAUAUAUAAGCCACUAAAUCCAGCGUUGUUCUAUUUCGCUUCUCAACCAUCACAAUGGUCCUAUCCUCCAUCGAGCAAGCUAAACCAAAUUAUGGCAACUGAGCUAGGGGUGUACUCAAUUCGGACUCACGAGUAACUCCAACUUCAAUACAGUGUUCAUCUAGUUGGAAUCGAAUUCGACCUACUUGAUAAGAAAAUCUAGUCUACUUUGAGAGUAUUCGUCGUCAAUCUUAUCAAGUAAGAUAUUUAUAAUUAAUUUUUAAUUAUUUCUUAUAAAAUUAUGAAAUUCACGAAAAAAAACCGAACCUUCCUCUUAAACCUUGAUUAAUGACUCAUCAGAAAAAGAAA